AACCGUCGACAGUCAGGUAACGAGCGAGACCCACGCCCACAGUUGCCAGCGUACUCUCUGGAGUGACGGGUACACUGUGGGGACCGCCGCUGCUAAAGCGGAGGAAGGAAUGGGCAACGGUAGGUCAGUAUGCCCCGAAUAUCCCGGGCUACACGCGAGCUACAAUGGUUGGUACAAUGGGUAUCUACCCCGAAAGGGGACGGGAAUCUCCUAAAACCAAUCUUAGUUCGGAUUGAGGGCUGCAACUCGCCCUCAUGAAGCUGGAAUCCGUAGUAAUCGCGUUUCAACAGAACGCGGUGAAUACGUCCCUGCUCCUUGCACGAAUUCGCCG
rnacentral:rRNA from 1 species